GAUGAACGCUGGCGGCGUGCUUAACACAUGCAAGUCGAACGGAAAGGCCCAAGCUUGCUUGGGUACUCGAGUGGCGAACGGGUGAGUAACACGUGGGUGAUCUGCCCUGCACUUCGGGAUAAGCCUGGGAAACUGGGUCUAAUACCGGAUAGGACCACUUCUUGGAUGUUGUGGUGGAAAGUUUUCUCGGUGUGGAAUGAGCUCGCGGCCUAUCAGCUUGUUGGUGGGGUAAUGGCCUACCAAGGCGUCGACGGGUAGCCGGCCUGAGAGGGUGUACGGCCACAUUGGGACUGAGAUACGGCCCAGACUCCUACGGGAGGCAGCAGUGGGGAAUAUUGCACAAUGGGCGCAAGCCUGAUGCAGCGACGCCGCGUGGGGGAUGACGGCCUUCGGGUUGUAAACUCCUUUCGCUAGGGAAGAAGCGUUUUUGUGACGGUACCUGGAGAAGAAGCACCGGCUAACUACGUG
rnacentral:rRNA from 1 species